CUUUUCAACCAAAACAUAUAGUCAAAAAAUAAUAAACCACACAUCCUCUUUCUAUAAAAAUCUGUGUCCUCUCUCUAGAAAAAGUAGAUUUCAGUGGCUCUCACAGCACCGGCGUCGAAUUUCUUAGUUCUAUUGUUGGGUGUUCUUGAUGCUCUCUGAAGAGGUGGUAAAGAUCCGACUUGGUUGAUGGGUGUCAAGGGCUCAGCCUAGAGGAGUGUGGUUGCGCGUGAAGUUUGUUUUCAGAAUCCAGUGGCUAAAGGCGGUUCUUUUCUAGAUGAUGAAGACGUGUGCUGGUUGUUUCUAGCCGGCUUCAGAGUUUACUUCUCGUUUGAUUUCUAGAUCUACUUGUUCUGUCGCUGGCCUUGUGCCUAAGGAGUAUGUGUCCUCUGCUUUUUCUGGUUGUGUGUUUAUAACCUCUAUGGAGUCUCAGAUUCUUCCUCACCUUCGUAGUCGUUCUUUGUUGAGAUUUCCUUGCUUGUCUGUUGAGAUUGAUCUCGACUAAUCUGUCACGGAGUUCAGAGAUUGGCUUAGUUUGUCUUUGUUCUAGCAACGGUGUAGUAUGAGAGUAGUGGCGUGUGGAGAGCAGUCGAAGGUUUGUCGAGAAGAAGUGUUGGUUUCAGGUAAUCAUUUCAUCUCCCAGUUUCAGAAGAGUCCUCCUAUUUCCCUGUGAGUAAGUGUGGUUUCUUGUUUGGCAUUGGUCUCUGGUUUUCCUCGGUAGCUUCUUCGUGGUGAAGCAUUAGAAUGAGGUUGAGGCUUUAAGUGUACAGUUAAAGGUGUGGUUGAGUAGUGAUUUCUCCCGGGUUUUGGUUCUUUAUGGUUUUCGCAUGAGUUUGUCUUAGAGGGUGUUUGUGGUCAUCGUGAACGGGUGGUUCGAUUGAAGGUUCCUGCUUUUCAUCGUAUCAUACUCUCUUGCUUUGUGUCUUGCAAGACUUCCGGCUAUUUAAUGAAUACAAUUGAUGUUUCAGUUUAUCAUUCGUUGUAUGUUCUUUAGACUCUUGUCUCCCUUUUUUGGGCUUGGUUUCCGGCGAAGUUCAUGUAUUCCACCAGCAUUAGUAUUCCACCCUUGUAAGGUCAGAUUUAGAACCUUCAGGAUUGCUGCUGUCAUCGUCAGUCUUGCUUCUGCCAUUAUUCAUCUAUUCUUUGCAAAGUUAGAUCCAUGUUUUGUGUUUAAAGGACUGAUAUUUUAUGGAAAAGAAUUCAUAACUUGUAAUGGAAUAUAGAUCCGAACUUGAUCAGUAUACCAAAAUCUGGAUUUUCAAGUUU